GCAAACUUGGUCAUUUAGAGGAAGUAAAAGUCGUAACAAGGUCUCCGUAGGUGAACCUGCGGAGGGAUCAUUACCGAGUGAGGGUCUCCGACCCGACCUCCAACCCUUUGUGAUUAAACCACUGUUGCCUCGGGGGUGACCCGGGCCCGUCUCGGGCGCCCCCGGUGGACCACUACAAAACACUGCAUCUUUGCGUCGGAUGAACAAGUUUAAUUUAUUAAAACUUUCAACAACGGAUCUCUUGGUUCUGGCAUCGAUGAAGAACGCAGC
rnacentral:misc_RNA from 1 species